UACGAAGGGGGCUAGCGUUGCUCGGAAUCACUGGGCGUAAAGCGCACGUAGGCGGCUUGUUAAGUCAGGGGUGAAAUCCUGGAGCUCAACUCCAGAACUGCCUUUGAUACUGGCAAGCUUGGAGUCCGGGAGAGGUGAGUGGAACUGCGAGUGUAGAGGUGAAAUUCGUAGAUAUUCGCAAGAACACCAGUGGCGAAGGCGGCGACCUGGGUAGAUACUGACGCUGAGGCGCGAAAGCGUGGGGAGCAAACAGG
rnacentral:rRNA from 1 species